CCCCAGCCUGGACCACCGGCCCCACAAUGCUCCGCGACCGGGUGCGCAAAUCUCGGGCGACAGGCUUUGCGAGACUUGUACCGCCCGUGUAGCCGAGUUUGGGUCAUUCUUUCAGGUUUUUUUUGUUUGUCCGCGCAUCUGAGAAGUGGGUGUAGAGAGCAUGGUAAAGAUGGAAGAACUCUUUGUUGUUGUUGUUGUUAUCUGAGCUGGAGCUGCAGCAAUGAUGGAUCCUUUAACCCACUGCAUCUGGCCAGGGAUCAAACCCAUGCCUCUGCAGCAACCCAAGCUGCCACAGUCAGCUUCACCUGCCACAUCACAGCGGGAACUCUAGGGUGGAAGGAUUUUUUUUCUUUUCUUUUUAGGGCUGCACCUGCAGCAUAUGUAAGUUACCAGGCCAGGGGUCUAAUCGGAGCUCAGCUGCCCGUCUACACUGAUGCCUAUGCAGCAACAUGGAUUCGCGCCUCAUCUGCAACCUAUACCACAGCUCUCACUGAGCGAGGCCAGGAAUUGAACCCACGUCCUCAUGGAUAUUAGUCAGGUUCUUAAUCUGAAGAACCACAACAGGACCUCUGUGGGGUGAGAGAAUUCUUUCUGUCCCUAUUUUAUAGGUAAGAAAGCUUUUUCUGACUCCAUUCAUAUUGACUACUUGGAGGUCUAUAAAAAGAACUAGCCUUUGUGCUGUUCCUCCAUGUUGGUGGAAUCCUUUGUCUACUAUGACCUUAUUUCCAAACCAUUUCAGGUCUUCUCCCUCUUCUGUGUGCAAAGCACCAGUAAUAAGCCACUGUCAUCACCCUGGUGACCUGGGCUUCCUUUGCCAUGCCUCCUGAAGCUGUCAGCCCUUGGACCAUGUGCAAGGAAAAUCAAAAUGGAGUGGGCAUUAGUAAGAGAGCUCUCCAAAAUGGAGCCAGGAGGCCACUGGGACAAGGACAUGAUGAUAAACCAGUCUCAGUCUGGGCUUCUCUUGGUUCGCUCCAGCCUUGGAUGGGCUUUUCCCCUCACAUCCCAAGAUGACUACCAGAAGUUUCAGGUAUGUGGUUGAGCACAUCCCUCAGCUUUACAUUGCUCAGGCAAAUUUAGGGACAUGCCCACUCACAACCAAUUGUGGAGCAGGAUGUGGGGAUGGAUUUUGUUCAGUAUGAGUCUAGUUUAGGAGCUAGAGUUAUCUUCCUCUGAAGCCCAUGGCCUGUGGAGAGGAGUGGAAUAAAAAUUAGGGUGGAAGAUGGAUAAACAACAAGGUCCUCUCAUAUAUCCAGGGAACUGUAUUCAGUAGCCUGUGAUCAUAAUGGAAAAAAAGUAUGGAAAAAAUGUGUAUAUAUGUAUAACUGAAUUGCUUUGCUGUACAGCAGAAAUUAACACAACAUUGUAAAUCAACUAUACUUUUUUUCAAUUUAUUCAACUAUACUUCAAUAAAAUAACUUUUUUUUAGAAAUUAGGGAGUUCCCUGGUGGCUCAGCAGGUUAAGGAUCCAACAACACUGCUGUGGCACAAGUUUGAUCCCUUGCCCAGGGAUGUCCAUAUGCCCUUGGUGUGGCAAAAAAAAUUAAAAUAAAAUUUAAAAUAAAAUUAGGAGUUCCUGUUGUAGCACAGUAGGUUAAGAACCUGAAACAGUGUCUGUGAGGAUGCUGAUUUGAUCCCUGGCCUUUGAUGGGUGGGUUAAAGAUCCAGCAUUGCCUCAAGCUGUGGCAUAGUUCACAGAUAUAGCCUACAUCUGGUGUUGCCGUGGCUAUGGUAUAGGCCUGCAGCUGCAGCUCUGAUUUGACCUCUAACCUGGGAACUUCCAUAUGUUGCACAUGUGGCACUAAAAAGAAAAUAAAAGUGAAUUAAUAAAUAAAUAGUAAAAAAUUCUAGUAGAAGAAAGAAAUAGAUGCUAGGAAGUAGAAAACAGCAUAUGCAUAGGAGUGUUAAGACUCAGUCUUUUGCUUUGUAUUCAUUGUGCUUAGGCUUUAUUGUAUUUAUGUUUUCAUAGUUCACUGUUCUGAAUUCUUUUUGGAAACAGGUGCAGUUAUAAAUACAUUAGGCAAUCAGGAGUUCCCCUUGUGGCACAGCAGAAAUGAAUCCAACUAGUAAUCAUGAGGUUGCGGGUUCGAUCCCUCUCUCAGUGGGUCGGGGAUCCGGUGUUGCCAUGAACUGUGGUGUAGAUUGCAGAUGUGUCACAGAACCUGCAUUGCUGUGGCUGUGGCGUUGGCUGGCAGCUGUAGCUCCAGUUGUACCCCUAGCCUGGGAAACUCCAUAUGCUACAGGUGCAGCCCUAAAAAGCAAAGCAAAAAAAAAAAAAAAGUAAAUAAAUAAAUACAUUA
ensembl:lncRNA